rnacentral:lncRNA from 1 species
CACCGCCGCCGCCGCCGCCUCGUGACCGGCCGGCUGACGGCGGAGAGCGGCGCGGGACCAGCGACAGGUGGAGAGCGGCCGGACACCUUUUUCCUGCCUCAAUGCGCCGCCUCUUUGUCAGUGGCACACCUCCAUGGUGGUGGCCAUCAGCGCUUGCGCGACGAGUUCAUUGCUUUGAUUCCGCAGCCAAUCGACCUACCUGUAGCAGUGUUUCCCGACUUGCACAAGGUGGAGCAGAAGCACCAGACUAACACCACCGACGCCGACGUAGGCCACGACAGCGCAGUCAUCGCCACCAGAGGCAGCAACAGCGCAGCCGCGGGCAGUAUCAGUGCAGCCACCAUCGCCUCGGGCCGCAUUCGAGCCGCCGCCGCCACGGACCGCAUCCGAGCAGCCGCCGCCGCCGGGGGCCGCAUCCGAGCCACCGCCGCCGCCGCCGCCGUGGACCGCUUCCGAGCUGCCGCCGCGGACCGCAUCCGAGCAGCCGCCGCCGCCGUGGACCGCUUCCGAGCCGCCGCCGCCGCCGUCAUCUUUGGUCGUAAACGCGUCGCCAUCACCGAGUAUGGCUACAUCCGCAACCCCGCCGCCGACUCCAACCUCCAUACCACACCAACGAGAAGCAAAACGGGAAGAACCCGACAUAACAAGACUAGCCCGGCUACUAUACUAUACUAG